ensembl:lncRNA
GUGAGACAGGGUGGUAAUGUUGCCCACCCUAAAAAAAAUGAGGUCAGCUCUACACGAGGGUAGGGGUGUCUCGACGCGCCCAUUCCACACCAGCCUCCCUUCUUCAGACCCCUCAAUCAGUUCUGGACAGUUCCUGGAAGCUUGCUCAACUCUACUCCUUCACUGGCUAUUCCAUCCUUCAUUUUUCCAAGUCAGAUCUUCGCCCCUUUUUUCCCUCUUCUGAGUGGGGUUGUUCCUGUGCUGUGUACCAUUCCUACAAUUGGCUGAAUUUCUGCCAUUUGGCCAUUAUUUUUCCUUCUGUUUUCUUUUGGCCUGAGAUUUCUUCAUCUCCUUUUGUUUUAUCUUUCCCUUUUUCUCCAUUGGUUGUUUUGUGGCUCGUCUCUCUUUUCAUCUCGUUGGCUGUGUUUUCGCUCUUGUCGUCUGUUACCCACACCAUGGCCCGUCCUCUGGCUCUGGAGCCGAUAAGAGGGCAUUUGGGUGUUAAGAGUUCCCUAAAUGGGAGUGCAGACUUUGACAGACUUAGUUUUAUGGGGGAACAGCAUCCUCCACCUCCCCUCCACAGUUACCUGUGGCUAACAAUCCUCACCUGCUUCUGCCCCGCGUACCCAGUCAACAUUGUAGCUCUGGUCUUUUCAGUACUGGUGAGUAGGGGACAUCACAGGCAUAUGGGAAACAGUUUACUCACUGACUAAUAUGUCUUAAAGCAGAUAUAAAUGUAUAGACUACUGAAUGAGAAAUAUAUAGAAAAUUAUGUGAAAAGUACCUCAGGUCAAUUUCCAUGAAGGAAAAAGCCAAUGCUGAGUGAUAUGUUGCAAGAUGAAUACAUUGUAAACAUACGGCCAGUUGUAUUUCACAAUUUUUGCAAUUAUAAAAUAAUCCUAAUCACAUUCUGUUUAUGUAGUAAUAAAGGGACAGUACGCAUUUUUGAAUUUCACCUUAUUUUCAACUUCCCUAGGAUGUUGUUUCCUCCAAACCAUUUUUUAAAUCAUUAGCUAAUUAUUUAGCAAUGUCCAGAAUAAUAUGGCUAGCAUUUUUUUCAAUAUAGCAAUGCUAGUGGAAACUGACUGUGUCCAUUAGCGGUUAUUCAAAAGCAUGGGGAAAGUGGAGGAGAGCGAAAAGCAACUCUGCUCUAGCUUUUGACUACAUCUCUAAAGGAAAAGAAUCAUAUUCUGGGAUUCCAGCAACAAGCAGUAAAAAAAAAUAUCUGGUGCACCAGCUUUGAAUGUUUGCCAGCACAACAGUUCUCCUUUGCAAUUCUCAUAUGUUCUUAAGCUACAUGUCAGGUCAUAAGAUAUGGUGUUGAGAGCUGGCUGAUCACACUAGGAUCUCUGCCCCAACUUUCUCACGAUCUGUGUGUGUUUUUGUGGGACCAAGAAAGAGAAGUGGUGUUGGUAAUAUGGGAAGGAGUCUACCGGUAAUCCCGUAUUUACUUUAAUAUCUGCGUGUGGCCGUGCGUGUAUGUGCAUGGCUUGUCGGUCUGUCUGUCUGUGUAUGUGUUUGAGGAAGAAAAAAGAGCCAAAUGUGUCUGAUGAGAGGAACAGAUGUGUCUGUGGUAGGGCAGGGUUUCAUCGAAGUGCCCUCUGACAUGCUCGAUGUGCCCUCCAAACAUGCUCGCUCCUUUCACCUCUCAAAACACCACGUCACUGACACACUUUCCCAUCCAAAGGGUUUGGACUCCAUUACUUUCUCUCCCACCUUUCUUUUCUCACUCUCAAACACACAAUCACACAAUGUUAUGCAGACCUGGGUUCAUAUAGUAUUUUACUAUUCCAGUAUUUCUGGAAUAGUAAAAAGUGCAAAUCCCACCCAUCUGGCACUCAAGCCAGGCUCCAUCAAACACUCAAAAUAUUAGAAAGAAAACGGAUACUAUUUGAACCCACGUGUGGUGUUACGUGUUCCGUACCUCAUUCACAUGUGAGUAUCACAUGUAAAUAUGACACAUUUCUUUUACUCCAAAUUAUUUUCCAAAUACAGGUCUACUUCCGUUUGAGGUAGGUACAGUAUGUGGCAUGAACAUGUUUCUCCUUAAAAGAUCAUGGUAAAGCAACACAUUUUAGUCCACGACUGCUGGUGAAGUUGAACGCUCCCUUAGUGAAGUGUUUUCCCUCUUGUCCCCAUGCAGUCCAGGAAAAGUUAUGAGUUGCAAGACUAUGACGGCUCGCGACGACUCGGUCAGAAAGCUCUCCAAGUGGCCAUCGCCUCCAUCAUCAUCGGCCUCCUCAUCAUCGCCAUAUUUAUCAUCGUUCACUUCACCACGUAUAAAUUGUAGAAGAGUUGCGCAGUAUGCCUGGAAAAAGCCAAACAAAGUAAAUGUCGCUCUCAAAGACAUGGACUAUGGACACCUCUCUGAAUGGACUAUGACAAGGGUUCUGGGGCCCCGGAUUUGGCAGUAAUCUCCAUCCUCAAGAACGGAACUCCACUCCAGAUGUGGUAUCCAUCUUUUGUCGCCGUCACACAUCCUCCACACCCAGCCUUUCUACUCUUCUAUCUGGGAGAAGAACUUAAGAAGCAAGACUCUGCUUUUGAAAGACUGUAUGGAACACUGACCUCUGGAUCACAUGAUACCCACAGCACAAACCUCGCGCACGCAUGCACGCACACAGACACACACACAGUUUUGUAUUGCUAUCUUUGUGGGGACCAAAGAAUUGAUUCCCAUCCAAAAUCCUAUUUUCCCUCACUUCUAAAUAUAAUUCUAACCUUAACCUUAAGCCUAACCUUAACCCCAAACCCUAAAACUAUACCUAACCCUAAUUGUAACACUAACCCUAAUUGCAACCCUAACGCUAAACCUAAACCCUAAGCCUACAAUAGCAUUUUUCCUCGUGGGGACCAGCAAAAUGUCCCCACUUGUCUGAAUUUUCCUUGUUUUACUAUCCUUGUGAGGACUUCUGGUAAAUAAACACACAUACACACACAUUAGAAGAGGAAGAAACACCUGCCCAUUCCUGUGUGCAUUUAUUGAUAAUGUGGGCUGUUGGACGAGUGAACAAUUACUUUUUGCAGCGGUAACUGUGUGGUCACUGUAGCACUAACAUGCUGACAAUUACUGUAUUUAUGGUGCUUUCAAGACAACCGGGAACUCUGGAAAAAUUAGGUCAAAUCAUGAUAUCAGGGAUUUUCAGGUCGGAUAGUCAGAGUUCUAGAAGGAUCCCCGAGUGUCCGAAUUGGAAUUCCGAGUUGGAUGACCAUUCAAAACUAUUUUCCCAGUCGGAGCUAUUUUUUUCCAGCUGUCUUGAAUGCACUGAACUGAAGUUGGAAGUAGGAGAUUUCCAAGUACCCAGUUGUUCUGAACGUGGCAUUAUUGUGCCACUUGGGAUGUUUGAUGUGUCAAUCACGUAACUGUCGAGUGUUUACUGUCAUAAAUGUCUUUUGCUUUUUUACUUGAUAUUACACCUGCCAAAUAUGUACAGUGCAUUCUGAAAGUAUUCAGACCCCUUCCCUUUAUCCACAUUUUGUUAUGUUAAAGCCUUAUUAUAAAAUGUCCUCCUCAAUCUACACACAAUACCCCACUAUGACAAUAUGAAAACAGGUUUUAUUUUUGCAAAUGUAUUACAAACAAAAAUCAGACCUUAUUUACAUAAGUAUUCAGACCCUUUGCUAAGAGAUUCAAAAUUGAGCUCAGGUGCAUCCUGUUUCCAUUUAUCAUCCUUGAGAUGUUUUACAACUUGAUUGGAGUCCACCUGUGGUAAAUUCUACUGAUUGGACAUGAUUUGGAAAGGCACACACACUCCCAUAGUUGACAGUACAUUUGAGAGCAAAGACCUGUCUAUAUGAGGUCUCACAGUUGACAGUGCAUGUCAGAGCAAAACCAAGCCAUGAUGUUGAAGGAAUUCUCUGUAGAGGUCCGAGACAGGAUUAUGUUGAGUUACACAUUUAGGGAAGGGUACUAAAAGACGUCUGCAGCAUUGAAGGUCCCCAAGAACACAGUGGCCUCCAUCAUUCUUAAAUGGAAGAAGUUUGUUACCACCAGGACUCUUUCUAGAGCUGGCUACCUGGCCAAACUGAGCAAUCUGGGGAGAAGCGCAUUGGUCAGGGAGGUGACCAAGAAUCUGAUGGUUACGCUGACAGACCUGAGUUCCUUUGCGGAGAUGGGAGAACCUUCCAGAAGGACAACCAUCUCUGCAGCACUUCACCAAUCAGGCCUUUAAGGUAAAGUGGCCAGACGGAAGCCACUCCUUAGUAAAAGGCACAUGACAGCCUGCUUGGAGUUUGCCAAAAGGCACCUAAAUGACUCAGACCAUGAGAAACAAGAUUCUCUGGUCUGAAGGAACCAAGAUUGAAAUAUUUAUCCUGAAUGCCAACCGUUACAUCUGGAGGAAACCUGGCACCAUCUCUAUGGUAAUACAUAGUGGUGGCACCAUCUCUAUGGUAAUACAUAGUGGUGGCACCAUCUCUAUGGUAAUACAUAGUGGUGGCACCAUCUCUAUGGUAAUACAUAGUGGUGGCACCAUCUCUAUGAUAAUACAUAGUGGUGGCACCAUCUCUAUGGUAAUACAUAGUGGUGGCACCAUCUCUAUGGUAAUACAUAGUGGUGGCACCAUCUCUAUGGUAAUACAUAGUGGUGGCACCAUCUCUAUGGUAAUACAUAGUGGUGGCACCAUCUCUAUGGUAAUACAUAGUGGUGGCACCAUCUCUAUGGUAAUACAUAGUGGUGGCAGCAUCAUGCUGUGGGGGUGUUUUUCAGCGGCAGGGAGAGGGAAACUAAUCAGGAUCGAAAGAUGAAUGGAGCAAAGUACAAAGAGAUCCUUGAUGAAAACCUGCUUCAGAGUGCUCAGGACCUCAGACUGGGAGCAGACGGUUCACCUUCCAACAGGACAACGACCCUAAGCACACAGCCAAGACAAUGCAGGAGUGGCUUUGGGACAAGUCUCUGAAUAUCCUUAAGUGGCCCAGCCAGAGCCCGGACUUGAACCCGAUCAAACAUCUCUGGAGAGACCUGAAAAUAGCUGUGCAGCGACCUUACCCAUCCAACCUGACAGAGCUGGAGAGGAUCUCCAGAGAAGAAUGGGAGAAACUCCCCAAAUACAGGUGUGCCAAGCUUGUAGCGUCAUAUCCAAGAAGACUUGAGGCUGUAAUCGCUGACAAAGGUGCUUUAACAGAGUACUGAGUAAAUAAUACUCAUGUAAAUGUGAUGUCAGUUGUUUAUUUUUUACAAAUUUAAAAGCAAAAACCUGUUUUUGCUUUGUCAUUAGAGUACUGUGUGUAGAUUGAUGAGGGAAAAAAAGAUUGAAUCAAUUUUAGACUAAGUCUGUAACGUAAUAAAAUGUGUAAAAAGUCAAGGGGUCUGAAUAUUUUCCCAAUGCACUGUAUGUGUAGGACUGUUUUCUUCUCAUGUAAAAAAAAAACUAAACAGAAUGCAAAUACAGGAAUAACAACUUUAUACCGACAGAAUGUAACAUUAGAAUAGCUACAUAAUAAAGAUGAAUUAGUAACAAAUGUCUUUAAAAAAACUAAGAUUUGGGUUUAUGUUCAUGUUUGCCAUUGACAGGGCAUAUGAAGGGUUUAGGAGUUGUUCUGAGAGGUGUUUAGUUUUGGUCACAGAUAGCUCAGGUUGAACACAGAUGGUCUUAAUUACUGCCCACAACCUGCUCUGGCCCUCAUUCACCCAUCUCCCAUUCCCCCUGGCUCUCCCCUAGUCCCCUGCAAUCUGCCGAGUCGGAAGGAUCCUGUAGUUUGAUAUGUAACAGUAUCACCCAUCACUGGCUAAAUAUAGGGACAGAUGUCCCCCUGUGUGCUGGUGUUGGGCUGCAUGACACGCUAGCCUGCUGUGUUCUGCCAAGUGUAGCUCACAUGGACAAGAGCUGACUCAGCUACUACCUGUUGAGUCCCACUAUCACACUGGCUCGUUUUGGACUAACCCCUUUUAAACAUUGUGUGUUUGAGCUACAGUCUUCCAGUUGUACCAUUGGAUUUGUCUAUUCUUCUGUAUCCGCUGAUACCAACCAUUAGUAUGUGUGAUUAACAGGGGCUGAGUUAGAGCAGUGAUUGUGAGACAAGCGCAGAAGGGGUCUGAGGCGGGGUCAAGGGGCGGUUCUUCUCAUAAAAAAACGUCUGUAGAGUCCGAAUGGUGAACUACAAACUAUUAUGAACCAUCUAUGAAGAGCUGAGACUCUGACGUUUUGCUCUAUGGCGCUCACAAGCUACACAACAGUCCUUAGAAGGUAAGGGGUUCUUCAACAUAGAAGAUCAUGGAAAAUCCCAGGAAAUAAUGUGUAUAGUACUGUAAUAAGCUCACAUAGUUGCUGUAACAAACUCCAAAAUCCACACAGUUGUCACUGACUAGUUGGACAUUCAUUACCCACCGAGUAAACAAUUUCUGUACUUACGGCAUUAUUAUAAAUUCAUUUUUUUUAUUAGGUUUUUGCUUGGCAGGCCUUAUUUGUUUAUUGACAUUUGUCAAUAAAACUCAUGAAUGCAACUGUUUAUGUCAAAAUAUUUUGUAUUCUACUUGUAGGCCUGGUUGUCCUGAAAAGAAAAUGGUAAAACGCUUCAAUGUGAGGCUAUAUUUCAGCUUGUUUUGCUGUGAGAGGCCUGGUUUCUAUGGAGUUCAGUUGUGGGCCUCUACUAGUAACAGGGGAACAGUAUGUCAAUGGAAUAUCAGCCAAUGGCAUUGCAAUGACAAGUGUCUGCCUUGUAAAGGAUGACAAUGUCUAUAACAGGCUAGUGAAAGUUGAUGGCCUGUGCAAAUUAUUUUCUAUUGGCCAAUGAGUUUUUAAUGCAUGAAAUAAUCACACAAGUCAAAACUGAUGUAGGCUUCUGUUUCCACACAACCAAGUUUCACUGUUGUAACCUGUUCGGUCCACUUGAGAGUUUGUUUCACUGGACACUUCUCAAUAUCAUGCUUCCCACGCAACGCAGCAUUAUAACCUAACAGUGAUGAUGAUGAGGGAAAGAGGAUAGUCCUGAGAACGUGUUAAGACAAGUGGGGCACACAGCCAGUCAGUGGCUUAAGCCUGAGAGCCGUACGGGAGACGGUCAACGAUGGUCUGUGGCCGGGUAGUUUGACAGAACCUUUGGUAAUAAGAUGCGCUGGAAUACUCUGCCCAGGCACAUUCCCUGCUUGACCUAAAAUGGCAUGUCAUCAGUGCAUAUCCAUCUCCUACCUUAAGAGACUGUCAGAAGAGUAGUAAGAUGUGGAUUUUGGGUAGUGGGUCACAGAAAUCCCCGGUAGUCUGUGGAUGUUCAAGAUGCCACUGCUAAGACCUCACACACCAACUAAUCUGGAGGGUAGAUAUAGGAAAGCUGUGGUAGGAUCAUCUUUUCACAAGCUACCAGAAAAGAAAACAUACUGAUAUGCAUUAUGGUAGUGUGGUUUCAAAUUAGAGCCUAGUGAGGUCAAGUGUGAUAAUAUGUUUUGCUUUAUGGAAAAUAAAAAAAUGUGUUUUUACAAAACUA